GGUGAUAUGGCUCAUACCGUUGUACUCUAUAGUGUAGGAGGUGGUAUAGUAUUUACGUGGUUACAUGCAGUAGAGUAGGCAACAACAGAACACCGAUGUGACACCUCUCUUUAAAUUAAAGCUUUAAGUUCGUGCGCCUGCGCAACAUUUCGGGGCUUGGAGAGUAACUGGAGGCUUUUUAGAGACCACCAUUGAUACGAGGAUUGCUCUGCAAAGAAAAAAUAACUACUACUCAAGUCCAUUUAAAUUAUUACGAGAUGCCGCUAGCCUAAUUAUCGUGAACUUGCGUUGGAACAAAUUACAACACAUUAUUGAACGGGUUGCAAUGGAGCCAACGAUUUCCUCCGUAUACAAACAAAACCGAGGCUUCUGUUUUUAAGGUGGAUAUUUAAGCUAGCAGCUACCUAGCCAGUCUACAUUGGAGUUAGUAUCUUUGUAAACACUGCGUCAGUUGUGCUAGCUAGCUAACUACCAUAACAAAGAAACAUGGGACUCGUAUAUUGUUGAAAGGAGGCAGACUCCUUUCCAUACGUUAGCUAAACAUGCGAGAAGAAAAUCGUUCUUUCUCAGGAAGGCAGCCAAUGGCAAUCGAAAGACGAGGUGAACUUUCCAGCUGUGCCUACUUCACGGAGGAGAAAGGGACAUCCGAGAGAGAUCUGCAACCCUGCAACGCUUUUCAUUUUACCUCAAAAUAAAACCCUGAGGUUCUGGAGCGAUGGAAACCGUGGGGAAAUUCGAGUUUAGCAGGAAGGAUUUGAUAGGACACGGUGCAUUUGCGGUGGUGUUCAAAGGCAGGAAUAGAGAGAAACACGACUGGGAGGUGGCCGUGAAAUGCAUAAACAAGAAGAACUUGGCAAAGUCUCAGACCCUUCUGGGGAAAGAGAUCAAAAUUCUCAAGGAACUAAAACAUGAAAACAUUGUUGCAUUACAUGACUUUCAGGAAACGGCCAGUUCUGUGUACCUGGUCAUGGAGUACUGCAAUGGUGGGGACCUGGCGGACUAUCUACACUCCAAGGGCACCCUGAGUGAGGACACUAUCCGAGUGUUCCUGCAGCAGAUAGCCGGGGCCAUGAGGGUGCUGCAGGCCAAGGGGAUCAUUCACAGAGACCUCAAACCACAGAACAUUCUGCUCUCCUACCCCGCAGGACGCAAGUCCCACUCUACCAACACCUGCAUCAAGAUAGCUGACUUUGGGUUUGCACGGUACCUUCAGAACAACAUGAUGGCUGCUACUCUGUGUGGGUCCCCUAUGUACAUGGCACCUGAAGUCAUCAUGUCUCAGAACUAUGAUGCCAAGGCUGACCUGUGGAGCAUAGGAACCAUUUUGUUCCAGUGUCUGACAGGGAAAGCCCCGUUUCAGGCUAGCAGUCCCCAGGACCUCCGGCUAUUUUAUGAGAAAAACAAGAACCUCAGCCCCAAUAUCCCCAGAGAGACCUCCUGUCCCCUGAGGCUUCUGCUGCUGGGUCUUCUGCAGCGAAACCACAAGGACCGCAUGGACUUUGAGGAGUUCUUCCGUCACCCCUUCCUGGAGGCGAGCUCGUCCAUGAAGAAAACAACUCCUGCUGUGACCAUGACGUGCUUUCCCAGCUCUGCUUCAGCCAGCUCCUGUAGCAGCUCUUCCACCUCACACCUGGCCUCCCCACCGCAGUCCCUGGCUGAGGUCCAGCAGGUCCAUACUAAGACACUCGCUUCUCCUACCCAGGAUUCCCCUGGCUUCCUCCUCAAGGACUCGUCUGGAGGGGGCUGCAGCAGUAAGAACUCCUCCUGUGACACAGACGACUUUGUCAUGGUACCCGCCCACUUUCCCACAGGUGAGCUCACCUGUGAGGGGCCUACUGGAAAGGUGUUCCACGACAGUCUGAUGAACAGCGGCUCUCUGCUAGCUUUUGGUGGCCUGGGCAGUCAGGGCAAGACCCCACCCCACUCCCCCUCCUACAGUGGCUCCCCCAAUCCUAUCAGUCGGCCUAACGAGUUCUCUGGCAGUAACUGUGGUAACUAUGGUCAGUCGGUGCCCAUUCCGGUUCCCACUCAGGUCCAAAACUACCAGCGUAUGGAGCAGAAGCUCCAUUCCCCCAGCCAGGACGGCUCCCCACGGCUGUCCACCCCAGUGCGUCGCUGUAGCAGCAAUAGUUCACUGGGAUUUGGAAGGACUGGCCCAUCUCUGCCUUACCCAGGAGGCCACGGGGCCUUGGCUGGCCUCCGCAGGCUGUCUGUAGGAGGGGCCAGACCCUUCCAGCUUUCACCUCAAGUGGGUACCAUCCCUGAGCUGCCAGGGCAGGUGCGCCCGCUGGGCACAGACACCGGUAGCGGGGGGUCGCAGGACGGAGCUCUCCAGUUCCUCGACAUGCGGCCUCCCGCUCAGCAGCAAGGCCUGGUCACCCGGCUUCACAGCGCCCCAUGUCUCCUCGAGGCUGCUAGCAGGGGCGGCAGGCAAAAUAUCAGGAAGCAGCACUCUGACCCAGUGGUGGCCAACCACCAGGCAGGCAUGGUGACUAUGCGGCCCCUGCACUCCUCCCCCAGGCUGAGUGAACUCAUGCAGCGCAGCCCCCUCCCCACCAUUCUAGGAUCUCCCUCGAGAGCCAUCCCACCCUUUGAGUUUCCAAAACCUCCCAGCACCCCCAACCUGGUGACCUUCCUGGCCCAGCAGGGCCUGGUUCUGGCCCCGCCUGGCAGCAGGACUGCCUCAGACCACAGGGACCCAGGACAGCAGGUUGGCAGGUCUCAGAGUGCAAGUCGUCUGUCUGACAUGUUGCUGAUGGCUGCAUUUGGAGGGCCGCUGGGGGAGCAGGGGAGCAAUGAGAACCUCGGCUCUAACAGAGGAGCCAUAGACAUCACAGCACCCUCUGGUGAUGGUGCCAUGGCUGCAGGCUCAGCCAGCCCAGCCCAGGUGGUGUUCACUGUGGGCUCCCCACCCAACAGCAGCACCCUACCACACACCUCCAGGACCAGGCAGUACUCAGCAGGCUCCUCCAGCUCUAUCAGCCCAGUGGGGUCCUUUACUAGCCGAUAUCAGACAGGCACCUAUCUGGAAGGCUUCGAGGAUCCCUCCAGUCCACGUUACAGCUUCACGGACCCCAUCACAGCCAACAUGGGGGGACCGGUCACCUUCCUGGCCCCUGAGCUGCCAGAGGAGACACUGAUGGCGCAGGAGCACACAGAGACCCUGAGGAGCCUUCACUUCACCCUGGACUUUGCCUGCUGUCUGAUGGAGGUGGCGGGAGUCAGGGGGACCGGGGCUGGGGCUGUGGCGGAGCAAGGGGACACCUCCCCACCCUCCCUCCUGCAGCAGCAGAGCCUGGUGGCAGACCAGAUCAGCUCCCUCAGCCGGGAGUGGAGCUAUGCGGAGCAGCUGGUGUUGUACAUGAAGACUGCAGAGCUCCUGUCGUCUGCCUUACACACAGCCAUGGAGUGCAUCAAACAGGGCAAACUGUACCCCUCUGCUACUGUCAAACAAGUGGUGAAGAGACUGAACAAGCUUUUCAAGUCCAGCGUGUCGUCCUGCCUCUCCCUCAACGCCCGGCUGGAGCGCUUCUUCUCUAGGAAGCACCGUCUCAUGGACCACAUUAACACUAUCACCGCCGAGAGGCUGCUGUUCAGCCACACCGUUCAGAUGGUGAGGGAGAUACUGUGUUCAGCUCAACACCGUUCAGAUGGUGCAGGCUGCUGCUCUGGAUGAGAUGUUCCACCAGGGAGAGGCGUCGGUGCAGCGCUACCACAAGGCCCUGCUGCUGAUGGAGGGCCUGUCCCUGCUCCUCACCGAGCACGAAGACAUCCUCAUCGUUACCAAAUGUAAGGAGUGCAUCGAGCGUCGCCUCACAGCACUACAGUCAGGGCUCUGCAUCUGAGGACUCUGCUCAGCACCCGUGGAUGCUGCUAAACUAUGAUGUCAGUCAUUCUGGACAGACACCACCAUGCCCAUUCAAUCUGACUUCCUCCCUACCAACUCAGUAUCCUCCCUCCACCCUCUAGUUUCCAUGGAGAUACCAGCCAGUGGUGGGGGCAGGGGGUGUGUUAUGAAGGGCCUGGACUGGGUAUGCUUGGGACUGGUGACGCUGGUCUCUCAUACUCACAGUGGAGCCUGUGACCGCCUGGUUGAUGUUGGAGAUGAAGGGCUUGUGAGAAGGCCACUACACACUCCUCCGUGUGUCAGACAGGACCCCACUACACGGACUGAGUGUGUUAGCUAUUCAUUUCUGUGCAGUGUCCCAUACACACAGCCUCUUACCGUCAGUAACGCUGCCCUGAGCAAUCACAGCCAAGCAGUCUGCCGGAGGAUUCUACUGCAGUCACAGACACGCUCCAUUUGAUUCUGUCAAUAAUUCAGCGCUAAGCAAUCACAAAUAGACCCUCACUUCUCUUAAGACGUGAGGUAUCACUCUAUAAGAAGCCACUCUGUGUGAAAAAUAUGAAUCUCAACCCCUACGCGGGGCAUUGUGCUAUUUUUAGUUUGGCUUGUAAUGGUGAUUUGUGGACAAUAGUAUAGCCUGAUAUUAUAGCGAGUGGGCUUAACUUGUCUGUUUUCCUCUUUUUGGUUUCUUUGAUGGUUUACAUUGAUUUAGAUUUUAUUUGUCGUUUUCGAGGAAACCAGAAGAGUUUUUAAGAGCGUUAACACAAUUGUAUGGCCUGUCACAGCCCACAGGCCUGUGUGUGGCGAAAAAAAUGUUGUGUGUUGUUAUUGACCCAGCUUAAUGUACAUUCCUGUGAUAGAACCAUAUAAAGGUGCUGUUACAGAAGUAUUGUACUUUAUUCAUCGCUGUCUGUGAUAAUUUGUCGAUGCUAAGUUUGCCGUAUUAAGAAUGACAAUGUUGCCCUUUUGGACCCAGCAGAUAGAUUUUUUUGACCAUAAACAGGAGAAUGUAGAGAGGAUUGCUGUAUGUGCCACUUCUGGGCCUUGACAGGAAAUGGACCUCACUGCGCAUUUCCUUUUGACCAAAGUGAAAUGGCUGCCAUGGUGGAAGAACAGCUGGAACUGCAUAAACCCCAUUGAGCUUUUUUAGUCUGAGUGCUUGAGAUGGAUCAUCUUAUUAAUAUUUCCUGAAGUUUGUAGCAAAUAUUGUUAUUUUAUCCAGUAUAGGCCAGGAAUAGCACUUUGUAGACCAAUCAGACAAAUGAAUAUUGCCCGAAUUGAAAAAUAAACUAAUUUGCACUGAUCUCUGACCAGACACGUGAGAUUUAGUUGAGCUUUAUUUAUUGCAUAUUUUCCCAUUCAAACUUCUUUUCGGAGUACAGCAAUCACAAUCAGUUUGUAAGACAUGUUGGCAGUAGAGUAGCAGCCCCUGUGACUGAACUACACCAGUGAUUGAUUACUGGUGUUAUAGCACUGUGUUGAGGUUUAUCAGUACUGUACAGAAAGAAGAGUGAAGGUGACUUAUAAGAUGUACAUGAAACAUUAUAUGUUCAGUUUUUCAUGUACAUAUUAGGAGAGAUUUCAGUUUAUAUAGAAUAAUUUCUAUGGGUUUUAUUGUAGUUUUAGGCGGUUUUGUUUUAGGUUUAUUCAUAGUCAGAUGUAUGAUGGGUGUCUGAAUCUUGACAGGGAAGUGUCAUAAGCUAUUACAUUUUGAAAGGUGCCUUUGAGAAGAAGACCCCCCCCCUCCUAAAAAAGAAACUGCUACAUUUGUACACUGAAAAAAUAUUUGUUGUAUGGAGUGUGUUUGUUUCAUUUCACAGUAGCCAAAAUGAGGACUUGAUGCUUGGAGUUUAUGGAAUUGUAGUGUAUCAGUUGUUCAAUGGAUAUUUGCUGGGAAGAGUUUUGCUUGAGGUGGGUGGAUGUUUCCCUAACCACAGCUCUAGGACCACAUCAUUGUAACCCCAGCAAUAACAAUUUGUGGGUAGAUAAAACAUCUGACCAUAUAUCUGACGGUGCAAUGGACCAGUGGUUAGAAGCGACUUCUACCCACUCCAAGAAGCUUGCGUGUUCCGUGUAUGCAUUUGUGUGAAACAGUGUUUGUGAAAGAGUGAAGAGCUUUUAUAUUUCCUCACUACAGGGAACUAACAGAAACGAGAGCAGUCCUGCAGCUCUGUUGCAUAUUGAGCUAUGGAUCCUACCUGACCGCCUUGUUCGUCAUGGGUAGAGCAGUAUGAGGAAGGGAGCAUUUUCCCCUGUGAAGAUUGUCUGAAUAUUUUGGUUUCCCCAUAGAUGCUUUCUGGCCAGUCAGUAAAAAGUCUAUUUUUUUCUUACUCUGAAAUGUUUCAUUUGCAUAGAGCGUAUGUCAAUGCAUUAAUGUCUAGUUUAUAUUAUACACAUUCCAGAUGAUUAUGUCAUGUCUAGUGACCCGUAUGCUUCUUGUCAGCCAGUGUGAUUCCUACGGAUCAGCUAGUGUAAAGUGGGAAAUGUUCAACGAGUGGCUGGUAGCAAGGCAAUGGUAGACCUUUAAGCUUUUUAUGCAUGUGUCACUUUUUUCUUUUGUUUCUUACAAUUAGUAGCCUAAAGCCACAUAAAUGGCAAAUAAAUCACUCUGUAGAAGAAUUACAACUUAGGUGGUUAAUUGAAAAGCCCAUGACGUAAAAGCUUGAUCUGCACGCCAAUGCUUAGGUGACACUAAAAAUACAUGCCCACUUCCAUAAGGGAUAUCACUGAAAAUACAAGGUUUUGCCAUACAACCUGAGAGGUUUGCAGUUUUGCUUCUAUGCUUUAUAAAUGCAGUAUACCUGCAAGUUUGUUCCACACUGCUAAUUUACCUUACUAUCUCAGACUCUGUAUCAAAAAAAAAAGUAUGUUAUUGCUCUGAAUGUGUUUAUAUUACAAAGCAUGGAUAGAAUCCCCCCCCCCCCCACACACACACACACCUUUCAAAACAUCUUUCAAAAGAAUAGUAUUAGAACAAUCCCAGUAAAUUCUAGAUUUUAGUUCAAGAGUUCCAGUGAGCUCCAAAAUUAUUGGGGUUUGACACUUUUUUUGACUGUGCUCCAGCACUUUGGAUUUGAAAUUAUACAAUGACUAUGAGGUUAAAGUGCAGACUGUCAGCUUUAAUUUGAAGGUAUUUUCAUCUAUAUCCCCAAUGAAGGUGCCACAUAUACGUAUAUUAAAGUAGUCAAAUGUUUUGUUAUUUGGUCCCAUAUUCCUAGUACACCGGGAUUACGUGUGUGAGUCUACAAACUUGUUGGAUGCAUUUGCUGUUUGUUUUGGUUGAGUUUGAUUAUUUUGUGCCUGAUAGAAAUGGUAUUGUCAUUUUGGAGUCACUUUUAUUGUAAAUAAGAAUAUAAUAUGUUCUGAACACUUCUACAUUCAUAUGGAUGCUACUAUGAUUAUGAAUACUCCUGAAUAAUGAUGCGUGGGAAAGUUACAGAAGCACAAAUAUCAAAUAAAAGUCACUCAAAUUACACAAUACAUCAUUUACCAUGAAUUUCUAUUGGGCACAAAAUAAUCAAACGACAAAUGCACAAGUUUGUAGAGUCACAAGCUUGAUGUAAUCAUUGCGUUCGAGAAAUAUGGGACCAAAUACUACACUUUUGACUACUUCAAUACACAUAAGUCAAUUUGUCCCAAUACUUUUGGUCCCCUAAAAGGGGGAGACAAUGUACAAAAAGUGCUGUAAUUUCUAAAUGGUUAAAUACCCUCAAAUGGAAGCUGACAGUCUGCACUUUAACCUCAGUCAUUGUAUCAUUUCACAUCCAAAGUUCUGGAGUACAGAGCCAAAACAACAACAGUGUCACUGUACUUUUGGAGCUCACUGUAUAUCUCUGACUGUUGUACACUUAAGCCUGUCAAAGAUUUUUAAAAACUAUACACAUUUAAAUGUCUGUGUGAUGUAUCAUUUUUUGGUUUAAAAUAAUAAAAUUGUGCAAGAAAUUAA